rnacentral:rRNA from 1 species
UACGGAGGGUGCAAGCGUUUAAUCGGAAUUACUGGGCGUAAAGCGUGCGUAGGCGGUUCGUUAAGUCUGUUGUGAAAGCCCCGGGCUCAACCUGGGAAUGGCAAUGGAUACUGGCGAGCUAGAGUGUGUCAGAGGAUGGUGGAAUUCCCGGUGUAGCGGUGAAAUGCGUAGAGAUCGGGAGGAACAUCAGUGGCGAAGGCGGCCAUCUGGGACAACACUGACGCUGAGGCACGAAAGCGUGGAGAGCAAACAGG